GAGCUGGGCUGGCUUCCGUCCUGGUAGCCAAGGCUAAUUCUCCCUCGAGUUCUUGGGAGAUGGGCAUUUGCCGAGAAGGCUGGCGUUAGUGAAGUGCGCCCGGCGUCACGGUGAGUGCGGGUCUUGGGCCCUAGCACCUGUUCUCUGGGAAGUCGUCCGCUGUGAACGAUGAACGCCUUUCCUUCCACCAGCUGCUGGUCACCCGGGAGACAAGCCUUGUCCGCGGAGAGGGGUGGGACAACUCCGAAAGGAUUAUUUCCAUUCAAUACUUGGACCUGGAAACAUCAAAAAAGCCGUUGAAGAAGCUGAAAGACUCUCUGAAAGCCUUAAACUAAGAUAUGAAGAAGCUGAAGUCCGGAAAAAACUUGAGGAAAAAGACAGGCAGGAGGAAGCACAGCGGCUACAACAAAAAAGGCAGGAAACAGGAAGAGAGGAUGGUGGCACAUUGGCUAAAGGUUCUUUGGAGAACGUAUUGGAUUCCAAAGACAAAACCCAAAAGAGCAAUGGUGAAAAGAAUGAAAAAUG
rnacentral:sRNA from 1 species